rnacentral:lncRNA from 1 species
GCACGCCGUAUCUUUAAACUGCCCUCAAAUUACACAUGAAAUGCAAGUAAGACAAGGCUACAGUGCUUCUGCAGCUCAGAUCUGAAAGCAAGUCAUCCUUACUUAUAGAUUUACUGGGUGCUGAUUAAAUGGGAAAUAAAUCCUUCUAUAAACAUACUCUCAAGAUACGUCAAAUCUGUAUAAUUCUGUAAUUUUAAUAACAGAUUAAAUUCAGUAAAAAGAAAACCAUAUCUGUAAUGUACAAAAAAAAAAAUGCCUACUGGUUAUACAUGGUCUUAAAACCUAUCCAACCAACCCCACCCCUAUCCCCACUGAAAGAAGAUGGCUUAAUCUGGCUUCUGCCUCUACCAAAAUGCACCCAUUUGCUUCCUAGAUAUAAAAAUAAAAAUGUGUUUCAUAAUAAGCAUCAAUAUCUCUCAAAAAAUGGUUCUAAAUGUAAUUCAGAGUGCCCUGAAAGGACCACACUCAUGUUUAAGAUGAUUAUGGGGGGGCUGUGGUGUUUAUUAAUAUUAGAAUCAACAUUUGCAAAUAUUUUUAUAUUUAAAUGCUACAGGAACAGUUACUUAAGUUCUAGGAUGGCAACAAAAUUUUGGCCCAUUAUUGUCAAGUAUAUGGUACAACUAUAUACUUGAUUAACAUCUUAACGAGAGUAUAAAGAAUUAUCAAUUAUCUUUCCCUGUGUAAAAUUUAAAAAAAAAAAAAAA